rnacentral:rRNA from 1 species
AUUGAACGCUGGCGGCAGGCCUAACACAUGCAAGUCGAGCGGAUGAAGGGAGCUUGCUCCUGGAUUCAGCGGCGGACGGGCGAGUAAUGCCUAGGAAUCUGCCUGGUAGUGGGGGAUAACGUCCGGAAACGGGCGCUAAUACCGCAUACGUCCUGAGGGAGAAAGUGGGGGAUCUUCGGACCUCACGCUAUCAGAUGAGCCUAGGUCGGAUUAGCUAGUUGGUGGGGUAAAGGCCUACCAAGGCGACGAUCCGUAACUGGUCUGAGAGGAUGAUCAGUCACACUGGAACUGAGACACGGUCCAGACUCCUACGGGAGGCAGCAGUGGGGAAUAUUGGACAAUGGACGAAAGCCUGAUCCAGCCAUGCCGCGUGUGUGAAGAAGGUCUUCGGAUUGUAAAGCACUUUAAGUUGGGAGGAAGGGCAGUAAGUUAAUACCUUGCUGUUUUGACGUUACCAACAGAAUAAGCACCGGCUAACUUCGUG